rnacentral:tRNA from 1 species
GCCUGGGUGGCUCAGUUGGUUGAGCUUCUGACUUCGGCUCAGGUCACGAUCUCACGGUCCGUGAGUUCGAGCCCCGCGUCAGGCU